rnacentral:rRNA from 1 species
CAAUAGCGUAUAUUAAAGUUGUUGCAGUUAAAAAGCUCGUAGUUGGAUUUCGGGGUGGCCUGGCUGGUCCGCCGCAAGGUGAGUACUGGUCAGCCGCCCUUCCUCUCGAAAGCCCCGACUGCUCUUUACUGCAGUGGUCGGGUAGUUCGGGACGUUUACUUUGAAAAAAUUAGAGUGUUCAAGGCCGGCUAUCGCCUGAAUACAUUAGCAUGGAAUAAUGGAAGAGGACCUCGGUCCUAUUUUGUUGGUUUCUAGGGCCGAAGUAAUGAUUAAGAGGGACAGUUGGGGGCAUUCGUAUUUAAUUGUCAGAGGUGAAAUUCUUGGAUUUAUGAAAGACGAACUAGUGCGAAAGCAUUUGCCAAGGAUGUUUUCAUUAA